rnacentral:rRNA from 1 species
GAUGAACGCUAGCUACAGGCUUAACACAUGCAAGUCGAGGGGCAGCAUGACGAUAGCUUGCUAUUGUCGAUGGCGACCGGCGCACGGGUGAGUAACGCGUAUCCAACCUUCCCGUUGCUAGGGGAUAACCUUGCGAAAGUAAGACUAAUACCCUAUGAUGUUCUUCGCAGGCAUCUAAAGAGAACGAAAGAUUUAUCGGCAACGGAUGGGGAUGCGUCUGAUUAGGUUGUUGGCGGGGUAACGGCCCACCAAGCCCACGAUCAGUAGGGGUUCUGAGAGGAAGGUCCCCCACAUUGGAACUGAGACACGGUCCAAACUCCUACGGGAGGCAGCAGUGAGGAAUAUUGGUCAAUGGACGGAAGUCUGAACCAGCCAAGUAGCGUGCAGGACGACGGCCCUAUGGGUUGUAAACUGCUUUUAUGUGGGAAUAAAGUGAGGGACGUGUCCCCUUUUUGUAGGUACCACAUGAAUAAGGACCGGCUAAUUCCGUG